rnacentral:misc_RNA from 1 species
GAUGAGAACGCAGCGAAAUGCGAUACUUGGUGUGAAUUGCAGAAUCCCGUGAACCAUCGAGUCUUUGAACGCAAGUUGCGCCUCAAGCCAUUAGGUUGAGGGCACGUCUGCCUGGGCGUCACAUAUCGUUGCCUGAUGCCAGUUUCCUCGUGAUGGGUGACUGUGCAGGGCGGAUGAUGGCUUCCCGUGAGCAUUGUUGCCUCAUGGUUGGUUGAAAAUUGAGUCCUUGGUAGGGAGCGCCGUGAUAGAUGGUGGUUGAGUGACGAACGAGACCCAAUCAUGUGAGACCCCUACCGAAUUUGGCCUUCAUGACCCACAUGCGUCUUUGGAACGCUCAUGACGAGACCUCAGGUCAGGCGGGGCUACCCGCUGAGUUUAAGCAUAUCAAUAAGCGGAGGA